rnacentral:tRNA from 1 species
GUUUUAAUAAUUUAAAUAUUAAAAUAUUGAUUUUGUAAAUCAAAUAUAGGAUUUUUCUUUUAAAACU